UUGUUCUUGCAGAUCAUGGCUUCAACAUUAAAGAAAUUACAGCUGUUAAAGGUGCCAACACUGUGAUUUCAGUAUUUACAAAGGGCAAAAAGCAGUUGAGCUCCUAUAAAGUACAAACAAUAAGAAAGAUUGCAAAUGUACGGAUCCAUGUGGAAAGAAUGAUUAGCAAUGCCAGACAGAAAUACCAGUUUCUUAGUAGCACCCUUCCCUAUAGACUAUUUGAUAACGAAUCAAAAGAAGAAAAACCCCUUUUAGAUAAAGUUGUUACAGUUGUUCGUUCCUUGAUAAAUCUUUGUCCUUCUGUUCCUUGAUAAAUCCUUCUGUAGUACCAUUUGAUUAGAAAUAAAUUGUAAAGCAUGAUAAUUACUGUUCUGCUGGUCUGUCAAUACUAUAUAGACAGAGCUGUCCAAGCUUGAAAAAAAUAAUAGGAUGGUUCUAAGUCGCAACUCUGAGUUUCAAGCUUCAUAUAUUGGGCAAGGUUUAUCAGGCAAUAUAUUGGAACUAGAGUUAAAUAUUAAAGAGAUUUCAUAAGAACCAAAUGCUUAACAAAAAUGAGACAUUAUUGGAGGAAAUGCUUUGAUUCUGUAUUAAAAAUCUACAUUUGGUUGGAGAACUAAGAUCAUAUGAAAAUGCAAAUAAGUUAAAAGUGCAUCAAUUGUAGCCAUAUUCAUUGGUAAAUUGGCUUGGGGCAGUAUUUCAAAAUAUGUCAUUCAUUAGAAGAGAAAAGGUGCUACUUUUGGUAAGGGUCACGUGUGGAAAAAUAUAAAGUUUCCUCUAAUAUACUUGUGGUCUACAAAGCUAGAUUAUUCACAUUAAUUACAUGUAAUAAUGAUCUGAACUGAGAAUGGUAGUUCUCCUUUUCUCAAAUGAUCUGCUAAAGUAAUUUCCAAUCAACUCUGGCAAUACAAUGUUCGUAAAAAAUAGUUCACAUUUGGCUACAAUAUUUGAGAAGCAAUGUUCAUAAUAUCUGAUUCUUUCAAUAAGUAUGUCUUUGGUUGUCCAUACCACAAAGUCACAAUAUUUUCUUUUUGUCAGGCCCAUUUGCAUUUGAACCUGAUGAUAAUAGGCAUGGCUUCUUCGCAGUUGAAGUUUGCCAUCAAAUGACUCCAGAAGUUUAGUAAUAGCGGUUUUGUAAUGCAGUCAUUUAGAACAAUGUCCCGGAAUGUAAAUGGAAACUUUAUUUCAACACAACCAAGGCCAUGUACUGUUGACUCUACUAGGGCAUCUGGUGUAGCUCGAAGAAAUGGGUAACUGAUACUCAAAAAGAGACCACAUUUUUUUAUAUCAAUGCCUUCUGUCUGUGACAACAUAAUGGACUUAUAAGCUUCCAGAGCAUCUUCUUCAUGGUCAGUGCCCCACCUUGUUGCAGAGGUGCUGAAUUUGCAUUCCUCUGGGUGACAAAUCUUUUUUAAUAAUGACAUAGGUGGCUUUUCUAGUGAAGCAUUCACAACCUCUUUUGCUAUUGAUGCUGCUAUAAAACCAGCGUGCAACUGAAACCACAAGUUAGACUUUGCUUGCCCCGUGUGUCUUUUUCAGCCUUGUUAAUUUGGUUUUCACUAGGCAAGAGACUUUUCAGUACAGUUGCAGACUGCUUUAAAAGCUUAUCAUAAGAUAGGUUGGAUGCACUCCCAUGAUAGGUUGGAUGAUCAUCAAACAAUCUGACAUCAACCUAGGGUAGUCCUUGCUGAGGCAUUUUGGGAUAAACCCUUCAAAAUAAUCAGGAUGUACUGACAAAAAUUCAGGCUUUGCUUUGCAGGCAGCGAAUGCACCUAAAAAGUUUUUGAUAUCUCUGGUGCUAGGGGGCUCAAUGGAGUUUCCCUUUGAUUUCACAUAAAAGCUUUUCUUUGUAUUGCUCGAUACGAUAUAUCAUCAGAGUCUUUUUUCUUUUUCUUUGAAGAAUGGAAGUCAAUAUCGGAAAUUGGCUUAUAUUCCACAGCUUUCUUUGAUGCAGGUAGUUUCCAGUAUGCUGGCUUUCCGGUCACUGUUGUUGUUUCCCGUAUUCGUGUACUUCAAUGAAAAAGAGAAGAGAAGCAACAUGAGAGCAACUUUCUCCAAUUCCUGCCGUACAGUUACAGUGAGCAGAGUAAAUUUUACUGUUGCCCAAAACCAUUAUCCAGCAUUUAAGUGGAGCCUCGCUGAGUCUUUGAGAUUUGAGAAUGGUUCACCUUAAAAGUAAAAAGUGUGUAUUGAUCAAAAUAAAAUAGCAAAAUUGCCUCAUCAAAAACUGAAAGAAAUCUUUCAAGUUAGUGAGGCCAGGCUCAAAAUCAAAGUCAAUUACAAUAACAAAAAACCAGGAAGUUUUAAAGCUUUAAAGUUAUAAAAUUAAGAGCAGAAAUUACAACACACAGUUAAGAGAAACUUUAACAUAGUUUAUGAUUUCCGAACCCAAUUUGAAUGGCACCGUGGUAUUGAAAUUUAACUUAACGUUAAUGACUUAACAUUAGGUUGGUCUUUACCUUUUUCACGAACAACGAAGACUUUUUGCUCUCCAGUACUACCCUCCACCAGUUUUACCAUCGUUUUAAUGUCACAUACCCAUCCGCUCAUGAAGAAAUCAUAACAUUCAAGGCUUUUAUAAUUUUUCAUUUCUUCCAUCGAAAAUAUUGGGCUUGGACCAAAUAAUUGACGAUGUCAAAGUAGGAGACAUUAGGUAACGCGUCUAGUUCUUUGGUCCAUUCGCUGAUACAAUCAGAAUAUCAUCACUUCAGACGGUCAGCUAUUCUAAACACAAGUUUAAAGUACAGAAGAAUCGACCACAGCGAUGUGUUUACUUCCUACCUCCAGUGUACCACCAACAUGGCCGCCAUGAGCGUGGAAUGCAUUCUAGGAUAGAAUCUCAAAACAGUCUAUAGGAAAACAGAGUCGUUUUUACAGAACUCUUUGAUACAACAAUACAUGUCUUUGGAUACAAUACAAUAAAUGAUCUUGCAAUAUAUUUUUGAAGGUAAUAAAAGUUUUUGAAAAGCUUCCUAUUCACCAAAUAUAAACGUUUGACGUUUUCACUCUUAUUUACAAAACCCAUAAAGACAAUAUGAUCUUAAUAAACUGAAUAUUCCAUGGCAGCACGCUUUUCAGUUACAAUCUAAUGCAACUCUAUUUCUCUUACUUCUUACUUCAAUGUUGUUUAGAAGCAGAUUUUACUUUUAAUCAGAUGCAUCGAAUCAGAUGCAUCGAAUCAGAUGCAGAUGAUCGUUUCAGAAUGGUGUACACUCAUGUACACCAUUCUAUAACUAACAGGAACAAACUGAAUAAUAAUUGCUAGCCAGUUUUUCAAUUCUCAUUCUGUCUUCUCUCUCCAGGCAGUAGUGUCUACCUGUCAUUGUUAAUAGUUUUGGUGGUUUCACCUAAGCAGGCGCAAUUGAAUCAGGGACCCAGCCUGAAUUGUUGGUUCACAAACUUAGCCUUUACAUCUUCCAUCUCCAGAAUAAUGUCUCAUACAAAGGCUUUUCAUCAUGGAGACCCACUAAAAACUUGCUAAUGUUUCCUUUUAAUGGUGGCACUUAUUUCCAGAAAAGCUACACCGCAAAACAUUCUCUGAAUCCUCAAAAACUGGCUUGGCAGCUAUUGUGUUUGUAUCCAAUGACAGAAACUGUUGGGAGCCACAUGUUACUGGUACCGUCUUUGCAUCAUUGAAGCGCUCUGCAAGAUGUCUCUUCUCAAGCUCAAACUCUUCUUGAGGAAUAUAUUGAAAUUAGAUCCCCUUUAUUUCGUUCUGGCAAAUUUUAAAGAUUUCUGAUGCCGAUAAUAUAAGUUUAUUUGUUAUUCUUUGUAGACUAGCCAUUGCAGCACGCUUCUUAACAAUAACCCAAUCCCAUCACUAGUUUCAAAGAAAUCCCAUUCAAAAGCAACUGAAAAUUCAGCUUGAUGGUUCAGGAACUGACAGAUUUCAUCCGACAUUCCCCUAAAAGGUUGGCUUGGUUUUCUCAUUUCAAGGACCAGCAUGAAGAACACCAAUCAAAGUCUUUGAGACCAUUUUGCCCCACUCGUUGGACAAUCCGAUUGGUAUCUAUACAAGCAAUUAGCAGUAACUAAACUGAUAUUUUGAGAUGGCUUGAAGAAGUUAAUUUGAAAGAGAAGAACGCAAAUGGUGUAAAAGCUGGUGGCUUUUUGAAGUCUCUUCCCAAAUUUAACAGCUUCUUCUUGCUAGAGAUUUUGAAGAUGGUACUUACCAUUGUUGAAGGGGGCAGUUCAACGUUGCAGGGAAUUCAGCUUUCCUUCAGCAAAUCAGAAAAAACAAUUACUUGUAUCAGAAAGUCAGUAUCAAAUGCAAGAGCUGAUGCCCCUUUUUUCGCAUUUGGCAGUCAAUAUUAGAUGCUGUUGCUAGAAAUGGAUCAAUAAAGGAGCCAAAAUUAACGAGACAGCAUAAGGUUCCAAGACGCAUUGAUGAGGGUACAGAAGCUUGGUUUUUUUCCAGUCACUGCGCAAGACCUUUACAGGCAAAUGUAUUUUACUAUUUUGGAUAGUGUGCUUGUUUGGCUGACCGACCGAUUUGAGCCUGAUGAAACAUCAGCACAACUGAAGAGAGUUGAGCAGUUUUUUUAUUGGAGAAGAAAAAUCGGUGGAUUACAUUCAACAACACUUUGGUAAAGAUGUAGAUGGCCACAGAUUGCUGCUACACAGAGAUAUGCUAAUUGCCAGGCCAGAUGUCAAGAGGUACAUUUGGAAGACAUUCAAUGUGUUGUUGAUUUUUUAAUCAAAGAUGAAGUGUUUCGAUCAAUGGUCAAAGAGGUCAUAAGUUGGUAAGGAUGAUACUGACCUUGCCUGUCUCAAGUUGCACAGCUGAAAGAUCUUUUUCGGGUCUAGGGCGCCUGAAAACGUACCUACCAUCGCAAAUGUCUCAAGAACGAUUAAAUGCUGUUGCAAUAAUGAACAAACAUAAAGAAGUGGUCAUGAGACUGUCAACUGAUGAACUUGUGGAAACCUUCAUACCAAGAAAUGUCGUGAGAAAGAGUACAUUUUGGGUGCCUAAAUAGAACUGAUGAUCUCAACCUAAAGAAACUGAUUAUGAUUUAAAAAUAAACUUUCAAUCAUUUCCUUUGUGUGUUUCUUCUUCCUCGAUAAUGAAAAAUGCACGGAAAAAUCACCUUUAAGCCCUUAGCUAAUCCACUUUCUAUCCUGUGACAUCAGCAGCUGCCAUUAGAAAUUUUCAUUAAUUUUUUGAGCCCCCCCCCCCUGAAAAAAUUGCAAGUCUACGCCUAUGCUGGGGAAUAGGAGCAUUUUCAAUGCACUCAGAAUUUUUAACUGUUUAGAGCGUACAGGAGGAUGGGUGUGGCACCAUAAGCAUCACCAGAGCUAAGUUUAUGCGUUCUAUAGAUGUAUAUGUGGUAAUCCAUAAAUCCUUUUAUACAAUAUUUACUCUCUUUCUUAACUGAGCAAAGUCAGUGAAUUUUGUAUAGCUGAUUAACUAUGUUGUAAUAAGCUUGGACCUAAUUUGCUAACAAAAUUGGAAUCAAAUUUCUUUAUACCUGCAGGGUAGGCAUUAAUACUCUUCCAAAUGGUUGUUUUGUCUUGCACAUAGGUCCCUGCUAGGCCAUUAAUUAUAAUUUGCUAAUUAUCAUGCUUAUUACUGUGGUGGAAUGGAACAGCAAUGCCCUAGCCUUCCCAUACUUACAGACCUUGGCAGCUUGUGGGUUUUGCCACCUGUAUGCAUUUUUUUUCUUUUUAGGGCUACUAGUCAAAGCUAGUACAGUUACAAUAUUUACAGUUGCAUAAUUUGCAUAUUAUUCUGUGACAGUUCUUAAUGUUCAAAGCCUCUACCAUCUAACGUUUCCUGUCUCAAUUUCAAGUUCCUGUUGAUGGGCCUCUAGCCCUAGUCAGGCUUCAGACAGAGCUAAAUGUUCAACACUGGUUGAUGCUUCAAAAUGUGCGAGAUGUACCCUUAUCUUUUGUUGUUGGCAAGCUGCUGGUGACAUUAUUAGAAAUGGUUUUUAUUAGAAUUUGGCACUCACUGUCAAAAUUUUUUUUUUUAAAUAUAUCUAAGGAUUUUUUGCACUUGGAUUGCCAAGAUCUUGCAAUUUAAAGAAACUUUCAACAACUGAACGAGCACAAGGUCAGCUUGGAUGCCUGGUGCUGUUGGACUUGCUCUCCACCUAUUUAUUCCAACACUGAAAAAAGGCCUGGGCUAUUGAUGUGGGGGUGUUUCUUUCCAAGUAACCCAAUCAAGCUAAGGAGAUGUAAGCUCACUUUAUUGUCAUUCCUUGUUUACAUAUUACCCACACUAACACUUGUUUUACAACAAAGAAACAAUUUUUUUAAAACGAGACUAAAUUCCCAUUUGUGACGUAACUAUGACGUCACGGCCAUGCCCAAAUCCAAAGCCUAGUACAUCAAACUGACCACCGUGACACGCCCUUUCAAAUGAGCUAUUGCAAGCCGAGGUACCAUACAUAUCGCCAGAGAUAUGGGCAAAAACGUCAAAAAAUGGCACAUUUUCAACUUUGUGCCAAAAUGGCACCUUAUUUUAAACUUUUUUUGGAACAUCCAUAACAUCAAUCGAUGCACCUUGACGAGUACUUUCGAUUUAUGUGGGUAUGUGGUAAACGCGUCUGUGAAAAAAGUUAUUUGCAAAAAACUGAGAAUUGGAGGCUUUCGGAACUUUUGGCACAUUUUUGUGCAAAAGAGAGGUGACAAUCCAAUUCCGACCAAAGACCCUUAUUGCCAAGUGGAUGAAAAAUUAUCUGGCACAUUGGAUUUUCUUAAUGAUGGAAUUGCUUUGUUUAAAAAACGAUGGAAGGCCAUGCCCUAAAGUUUCUCUAAAAAACCGUUCAUCAGAUGCUGUUUAUGAGGCUUUCUCUUGGAUAUGUGGAGACGAAAAGAAAAGUACCUAUUUUUGCUGGCCGUGCUUGGUGAUGGGAGAUCUUUCUAAAGUAAGAUUUUAGAACAUUCUAUAUUUUAGUUAAUUUUAGUUUUAUAUUUAGUUUUAUUUUAUUCUCGAGCUUUUACUCUAGAUUCAUCGUAAAGUUAAUUUUGCACUUAGGUUGAGUAGAAUUAAUUGAUGCUUGGGUUUAUUAAAUUCAGAAUGUGUAAUUAUCAGAAAUUUAUGUCCUUAAAAUGCAAGUUUUCAACGUUCUUUGCUUGCUGAUAUGAUUUUGCUAUUAAAAGAUGGCCGUUAAUAGCAACAAACAGUGAGGCUACAGCUACGGGCAUAGGGCCUUUCACUGUAAGCUGAUGGUCUUUCUCUGCCAGCCGAAGGCCGUUGAAACCAAAGCCUACAGUCGUAAUUGAAAGACUUGUCGUAGAGGCAUCGCUUCAGAACUCUUGGGUUGGUAGACAUUCUGAUAUUUUCAAGAAAGUUUAUUUAAGUCAAAAUUUAUCUGAAACAAAUAAAUUUCUGAUUUUAUUUAAUUUUGUUUUAUAUGAUUUUAUUUGAAACGAAGAAAAUUGUUGAGAAUUUCACCAAUUUGUCCACCUUUCAGAUGAAGAAAGUUCCAUUUGUUCAAGAAAAUGGGUUUCAGUCAUUUGGAUCUAACCUCUGGAAUAUUGCUGUAUGACAUCAAAAUUUGAAAGCGCAUAUCUCGACGGCAAAGAAAAAUUGCUCAACAUAAUAAUAAUGCCUCACGCUACGCUUGAAUGCUGGAAAACCACAUCAAUGUGAAAUGGUUUUUAACAGCCCAAGGACUUGCGUUUACAGCACAUGACGAAUCUGCAACGUCAUCAAAUAGAGGAAAUUUCAUUGAACUAUUAGAUCUUAUUGACAAUUACAGCCAGGACCUGCGGGAUUUUCUAACAAAACAACACGUAACGUACAUGUCUCAUGGGCCUCAAAAUGAUCUUAUUGGGUGUAUGUGUAAGAGAUGAGAUUCAACAGAGGAUUGAUAACUCAAGGUUCCUUGCGGUCAUGAUGGAUGAUACGAGUGAUUCAAGCAACAUUGAGCAGUCAGCGGUUUCAGUCAGGCUCCUUUAUGAUGGAAAUGUGGAAGAACACUUGUUAGGGCUUGUAGAUUCUUCUGGCAAUCAGUCAGCAGAUCCGUUAACAAACAUUCUUUUAGACACACUGAAAAGUUUCAAGUUACUCCAGAGAACCGUGCGGAGAAACUUAUCGGGCAGUCCUAUGACAGGGCGCCAGCGAUGAGUGGUGAACUGAGGGGGGUGCAAAAGCAAGUAGAAGAUAAAUUUCCCUUUGCAUUUUAUAAUCACUGUGUUGCAUAUAGACUCAGAUUGCGCUUCUCAGAGUUCAAAUAGAAUUCAAAGAAUUGCCAAAUUUUUCCAUGUGGAUAAAUUGAUAUCAUUUUUUCGGACCAGCCCAAAACGUACCCACCUUCUUGGAAGAUGAAACAUUUUGGAAUAAAAUUUGUCGACUAAGAUACAACUGUAGAUCAAGUGGGUGAGGCAUUUAAUGCAGAAAAAGAUGGUCCAGACCAGUUAUUAGGCUACUGUGCUAUGCCCAAGAGAAUCAGAGAGCAGUAUGGCCUUCAUGAUCCCAGAGGACUCGUUCACGAUGUAAUGACCCUUGGUGACAAUGAAAGACUUUAAGGAUGAGAAGAGAAAAGAAGGGGUAGAGUUGGAACAUUCACGUCAUUGGUGCGAGGUUAACUUGUUAUUGAAUUCAUAGGGCUGGCAAAAUAGAAGACCAUGUCCUCAUUUUUUACAAAGCUCUAAAGAACUUUUCAGUUAAAAAUAAAAAAUAUGAGUAUACACUCUUUUUUAUAAGAAAUUAGGAUAUUUUUCACUACUAAAAGUUUCUUUCUUUUUGGCUAAUUAGGGGUAGAGUUUGGAAAUUAAGUAGUUUGGGAGGGAAGGCAAUUAGAUCAACUAUUUUUGGAUCUGAAUAGGUACCCAGUACCCUUACUACCCAAGCUUAACCCUUGCCCUAAUCCUACCCCACAGCCUGCACCUAACCGAACCCACCCCGAGUGCACUUCCUGCAUCUAGGUGCAGAGGUCUUCUGGUGCAAUGUCUGGCGUAGACUUUAGAUAGAAUGCAUCCUGGCAGAAAUUAUGGAGGGCUUGGCGGGCUGAAGCCCCCUAAAUUAAAACCUGAAUUUUAGUUUCAACUCUAACACCCUUACUUAAUCUAUAAAGCCCUGACAGUGAACCCAAUCCAAGUAAAGUGAAGAAGCUUGAACCGCAAACCUCAAACUAAUUGAUAUUAAAUUUAUUAAAAAAAAGAAGAAAAAAAUUCCUAUCUUUCCAAUGUGGUAUCUGUUGAAUAUUUGUGCACAAGGAACCUUUGUUCGAGACAAGCACGUCACACGUACUGACAGGGAGGCCAAAAUGAGCAGCACAAGCACCCUUCAAGUUAGGUAGAGUUAUUUCAUCAAACUCAAAUGAUACAAAUUCGCGUGUCUGAAUCGGACGAUAGGUUUGCUUGCUGUCGGGUUUGAAGAAAGCUUCUGGACGACAAUCCCGUGUGGGGCAGAUCCGAGUUUUUUAUUUUUAAUUGAUGCCUUGUUUUGUUUUGUUCUUUUGUUACUCAUAACCUUAAAAAGUUUUUCCCAAGUAUCUUGCCUCUUCAUGAUUAAUUCAAAUUAAAUAGGCUACCAUGAGGUUUGCUGUUAAGUGGCAAGGCGAAGCAAAAAGGGCGCGAAAAGCUGUAUGGAAAGGAGGCGCUUAUUCUUGCAAAGCAUUGCGGUCUAUGAGAACGCUGGGCCGAUCGUGACAUUUCAUUUUGAAAAUGAAAACGAAAAUGUUUCUUUUGACAACUUUCAAUGUGAUUUUCAGAAACAAAAAGAAAAUAUUCUUUUUGAAACUUGGAAAUGGAAAUGUUUCUUUAUUUUUUUAUUAUGUUUAUUCUGCUUUUUGACAUAAUAGUUUGAAUUGAAUGUCAAAUUUACCACAAAUAUCUGUAAUUUUUUUAUAUUUUAUAAAAUAUGUUUCUGUUUUUGGAAUGAGAAUGCUGGGCCACCAUAGAUAUUUACGGUUUUCUCCCGGGUUCAUUCAAAAUCCUCUCAAUCACGAUUAGUGCUCUCCGCAGUCUUUGUCCCGCCUUUCUAAAGGUUCUUUCUCUCUCUUUUCUCUUGCUCUCUACAAAAGGUUUCAAAACUUCUUCCUCCAGCAAUCCUUCAAUUUGAACGGAGGCUUUUAAAAUUCGUUUCGCUUUUCACAAAGAGAUUCAUUGGAUUUUUAGUUAGAGGAGAGGAUAGCUAAUAAUAAAUCUACAGUCACUGCUGCUUGGCAUUCCUUUUCGAACUCGAAGCGGUCCUCGACGGUCGUAUUCUGUGCUACAGCUUCAGCUACAACUACAGUAGUGAGUCUCCUUGGCUUUUUUUAUCAACUGAUUUUUUAUUGAUCGGAGAUUGAGCCCCGUUUCUUAUUUCGUUUGCAAGAGCCAUGUAAUUCAUGCUUUUGACGAUCUUCUUUUUCGUUUUAGUAGCUACGUACGGUACAUGCGCUGCUGCCCGUUUUUUGGUUCUCCGAUGGCUGCUGGCUGUUCCCGUUCUUCACUGGCAUCAGAAUCGAUGGCAUGCGAAUACAAAUGAGCGAUAGGAUUUGCUGACUUUUUGGAACAACAAAUCAAAGAGCGUUUCAAGCAUAAUUAUGACGCAGACGUGAUUCUUGGCAUUUAUGCUGGAAAUUUAUGGCAUUUAUGCUGGCGUUAAAUCGAACAAAGAAGCAAGAAAAAACCAUGACUGUGGAGAAAAUUACUAAAUCUAUGAAGAUUAGCUGUUGUCCAUGAAUUGUAUUUUGUUAAUUUGUUGUUUGAGUAAGAAUCCUUUCUGAUGCACGAACCCCAUCUUUCUUUUUAGGCUCCCCCCUUCCUAGUGAUCGUCACAAAAGUGCGAAUUUAAUUCGCACAGGAGUGCAAGCAAUUUUUUUAUCACGUGACCUCUCCUCAUUUUGAAAUCGAGGUUUAUGGCACUCUUGUCUUUCCAAGGCUAAUCUUAAUAUUGAACCAUAGGGCCACUGGCAAGCCUGCGUAGCGGGCUUCGUAGGGGAGCUAUAACAUAAUAAUAACAGUAAGUGAAGUUUACAAAUUCUAAAACGUUACACAUGUCCCUGUCAAAAUUCUUGCAUUGAUGUCAAUGACUAUGAACUACUGUGUAACAAACAGGUUCUCUGCCACAUAAUUUUAGGGAGACCUCAUUUACAACAUAUUAAACAAGAAUUCAAAAGAAUAAAUACUCUGUCUAGAACACAAUUUUUACGCUCUCAUUUUACCAUGUUUACCACAAUCCAUCAUCUCCCAAUUUCUCCUUUAAAAAUCUUUCUUUACAAACGAUAGAUAAUCAUAACCAACAAAUAAAGAACAAAUCCUUGCAACCACAUUAAACGCCCCUGGGAACAUUCACACACAAUACAACUAUAGAACAGAACAAAUGCACGAUUAUAACACUUGAACACCACUGAACAAACAAUGAUAACCAUACUCAGUGGCGGCUGGUGGGACUUUUUGCUGGGGGGGGGGCAAAAUGUCAGGUGUUGGGUGUUGCCAAAUACAAAUUUAAGAGCCAUGCUCCUGAUUCCCGGAAGAUAAGUAACAUGAGAAAAAGUCAUUACUUUUGUUAUGCAAUGCUCAAAGAUCUAAAAGUUAGUUAAAAAUUUAAAUCUAAAUCUACCAAGAAGUAUUUAAUUUGCACAGAGACUUGUUAUAAAUGUGUUCAAAAUUGCUUAGUUUUACAUAUUUCACCUUGGAUGCCACAGUUUCAAAAAAAGAAAUUAUGUUAUUCAAACAGCUUUGUAACUAAAAUUUCUUUUUGUCAUUUUUUAAUACAAUUUCCAUAAAAUGUUCUAAGAAUUUUAAUUGAUGGCAAUCAUGGCACAUUACUAAAGUCUACUUUGCUCAUUUCAUUUCUAAAACAUCAUAAUUUUACUUCAAUCAACUGUGAUGCUUACCAUUUAAAACUA